AUUGAACGCUGGCGGCAUGCCUUACACAUGCAAGUCGAACGGCAGCACGGGUGCUUGCACCUGGUGGCGAGUGGCGAACGGGUGAGUAAUACAUCGGAACAUGUCCUGUAGUGGGGGAUAGCCCGGCGAAAGCCGGAUUAAUACCGCAUACGAUCUACGGGUGAAAGCGGGGGACCUUCUGGCCUCGCGCUAUAGGGUUGGCCGAUGGCUGAUUAGCUAGUUGGUGGGGUAAAGGCCUACCAAGGCGACGAUCAGUAGCUGGUCUGAGAGGACGACCAGCCACACUGGGACUGAGACACGGCCCAGACUCCUACGGGAGGCAGCAGUGGGGAAUUUUGGACAAAGGGCGAAAGCCUGAUCCAGCAAUGCCGCGUGUGUGAAGAAGGCCUUCGGGUUGUAAAGCACUUUUGUCCGGAAAGAAAUCCUUGGCCCUAAUACGGUCGGGGGAUGACGGUACCGGAAGAAUAAGCACCGGCUAACUACGUG
rnacentral:rRNA from 1 species